AUUGAACGCUGGCGGCAUGCUUUACACAUGCAAGUCGAACGGUAACAGGCCGCAAGGUGCUGACGAGUGGCGAACGGGUGAGUAAUGCAUCGGAACGUGCCCAGUCGUGGGGGAUAACGCAGCGAAAGCUGUGCUAAUACCGCAUACGAUCUAUGGAUGAAAGCGGGGGACCGUAAGGCCUCGCGCGAUUGGAGCGGCCGAUGUCAGAUUAGGUAGUUGGUGGGGUAAAGGCUCACCAAGCCAACGAUCUGUAGCUGGUCUGAGAGGACGACCAGCCACACUGGGACUGGGACACGACCCAGACUCCUACGGGAGGCAGCAGUGGGGAAUUUUGGACAAUGGGCGCAAGCCUGAUCCAGCAAUGCCGCGUGCAGGAAGAAGGCCUUCGGGUUGUAAACUGCUUUUGUACGGAACGAAACGGUCUGGGUUAAUACCCUGGGCUAAUGACGGUACCGUAAGAAUAAGCACCGGCUAACUACGUGCCAGCCGCCGCGGUAAUAC
rnacentral:rRNA from 1 species